AGUGAACGCUGGCGGCAGGCCUAAUACAUGCAAGUCGAACGGCAGCACAGCAGAGCUUGCUCUGUGGGUGGCGAGUGGCGGACGGGUGAGGAAUACAUGGGAAUCUGCCCAGUCGUGGGGGAUAACGUAGGGAAACUUACGCUAAUACCGCAUGCGCCCUUCGGGGGAAAGCCGGGGACCUUCGGGCCUGGCGCGAUUGGAUGAGCCCAUGUCGGAUUAGCUAGUUGGCGGGGUAAUGGCCCACCAAGGCGACGAUCCGUAGCUGGUCUGAGAGGAUGAUCAGCCACACUGGAACUGAGACACGGUCCAGACUCCUACGGGAGGCAGCAGUAGGGAAUAUUGGACAAUGGGCGCAAGCCUGAUCCAGCCAUGCCGCGUGAGUGAAGAAGGCCCUCGGGUUGUAAAGCUCUUUUGUCCGGAAAGAAAAGCGCCGGGUUAAUACCCUAGGUGUCCUGACGGUACCGGAAGAAUAAGCACCGGCUAACUUCGUGCCAGCAGCCG
rnacentral:rRNA from 1 species